UACGUAGGUGGCGAGCGUUAUCCGGAAUUAUUGGGCGUAAAGAGCGCGCAGGUGGUUGAUUAAGUCUGAUGUGAAAGCCCACGGCUUAACCGUGGAGGGUCAUUGGAAACUGGUCGACUUGAGUGCAGAAGAGGGAAGUGGAAUUCCAUGUGUAGCGGUGAAAUGCGUAGAGAUAUGGAGGAACACCAGUGGCGAUGGCGGCUUCCUGGUCUGUAACUGACACUGAGGAGCGAAAGCGUGGGGAGCAAACAGG
rnacentral:rRNA from 1 species